rnacentral:sRNA from 1 species
AAUGGAUCUCCUUAAGAUAAUUAAAAGAUACAGAUCAGACAUUGAUCCAAAGCUUCAGCAGUUUGAUGGGAAAUGCUUAAGUACUUUUAGCAAGGAAGAUUUGUUACAAGUAGCCACCAAAAUAAAGAUACAAUUAAAUGACAUUUUAGUGCUCCUAGACGUGGAUGACACGAGAGAAAACUUAUGCAAAGUUGUUAGUUUUGCAUUAGAGCAAGAAUACGCAUUGAAAGAGGAUAAGGUUGACGAACCUCCAAAGAAGAAAAAUAAAACUACAGAAAACAAGUCGUCAGGGGUAAGUUUAUUUGACAAAUAGAGUAUGAAUAAUAUAACAAAGGGUUAUGAGGAAAGUUUGAGAAAACGAUGAGUGUAAUAGAUAAUUAUACAGAAAUGAACAUGUCAUAAAGGUCAUCGUAUGCAAGUAUAUAUAUAUGUGUAUGAAUAAUGUUUAAAUAAUAAGUUCAAAAUGCAAAUUAGUACGCACGUGUUAAUGAAACUUUAUUGUUAUAUAUUUAUUUAGAUAUUUUGUUUCAUAUUGAACGGGCACAGAUAUUUUAAAGUUAGAAUAUUUGUUUAGAAAAGUGACAACGGAAGAAUGCAAGUAAACAAAAUAUGUUUUGUCGGGUGUUCUAUUUGAACGUGAGACAAAGAAUGUCUAAUGAUAUUAUCAUGUGUAUAUAAAUGUUGAAACUCAAUUAUUUGCAUAUUGUUCGGGCACGAUGCUCGAACGUGAAUAGAGGUACAUAGAAAAAAUAAUAAUAAUGAUGCGGCGAGUAUUACGCUCGGUCGUGGAAAAAAGUAAAUAAAAAAAUAAUUGUUCAAGUUUUUGAACGUGUAAAAAUUUUGUUGGUUAAAAUAAAAAAAGAAUAGUUUUGGAUAUUUCAAUUUUGACAUAUCAAAUUAUUAUUGUUCGGGCUUUAUGCUCGACCGUGAAUAGAGAGAGAAAAAAAAUAAAUAAAAAAAAAUCGUAUUUCAUUUAAAUGUGUUUGGGCAUGAUGCUCGGAUGUGAAUAAAAUAAAGUAAAGAAGAGAAGGAUGAAGAUGAUGUUAGCAAUUUGUUCAAGAUUGUUUCUUGAACGUGUACGCAUUAAGUGGCUAGGAUUAACGUGAUGGGGAAUGUGAUAAAAGGGAAAAGAGAAAAUUGCUUAGGAGACAAAACGCUUUUAUGGGGGUUGCGGUUUUGUGUUUGAUCGUGAUAAGGAAGAAUUUACUUGGUGGUAUUAUUAUGUAUAUUAAAGUAUGUCUCAAAAGAAAUUACAAAACAUAUUUGUUUUAGCAUCAUGCUCGAACGUGAACAAAGAAUAUGAUUUUUACUAUUUAUGAGGUCAUUCAGAAAGGGAAAUAUAGAUACGAUUAUCAAUAUUAGUGGCUAAAUGGAGUUUGCACACUCAUAUCGGCAAACAGCAGAAAUUUAUAAUUUUUAAAAAAUAACUUACUGUAUAUAAACAUAAAAGAGGGAUACUUAAAGAAAACUUGAACGUGUGUUGAAAGGUGGUAUUUCAAAAGAUGUAUUCUUGAGCUCGAAGCAAAUAGGUUAAGUACAAUUUUGAGUUAGAAUGUCAAAUAACCAGAAGAGUUGUUUUACGUGUUAUAGGGUGGUAUUUAAGAGAAAGUGAGAAGGAAAGAACACCUUAUGAAAUACGAGUGAAAAGGGAAACCGUAGAAGCACAUUUUUUCUGGUUUUUUAAAAUCAAACUCUGCAAAUUAGAAUCGGUGUCAAAUUGAUUAAUUGGCUGUUUAAUAUAAAGCAUGCAUAUAAAUGACACAUUAUAAUUGUUCUUUUACUUACAUUAAAUAUGACCUUGUACACGGUUUUGUAAUAAGCUUAAAGGGGACCGUUACUAUUUGGGUAUAGCGAUAUAUCAAGUUUAAAAAGUUCGAACGGCGUUACAAAAAAAAAAAAAAUAAUAAUAUUUAAGAGUGCAUAAAUUUAAGAAAUAUAAAUUUAUAACAGUCGAUAGAAAAGCAUAUUCAAUUUAUUUAAAUAUAUUUUACAUUUAACUUAAUAUUUGAUCUUAAAAGAAAGAGAGGAAAAAAAUGUAACAUUAUUCGCGUAUAGAUACAAAGCAUGUUAUUUAUUGAUACACAAGAUUUGCUAAUUGACCAUGUUGUUUGUUAAAGCGAGAACAUAAUUUAUUGUGUACAAAGUAAACUUUUAUGGGUUAGACACUAAUUGGAUGUUGUUUGAUGAUUAGUUUUGAAUCAACAAUCUGAACAGAAUAGAAGUCCACAUCAGCGGGGUGUAUUUUUAUAACAGGCGGUCAAACAUAGACACUUGACAGCUACGCGUCUUCAAAGAUAUCAAUAUUUAUUUAAGAGCAGAUUUCAGCAACAUGAGUGUGAUAAAACUAAUAAGAUGAAGCCCUUGGCAUGGGUUACAUCAGAGGUUAAUUUGCUUGGGAAGGUGGCAUCUGUGAAUUUGUUCCACGUGAAGUUUUACAAGAAUAGUACUUACGUUUAAUUAUUAAAAACGAAAGAAAAAUUAAAAUAAAAUAAAUAAAACAAAUAUGUAUAAAAUAUAAACAGAUAUCUUACAUAUUUAUAUAUAAUAAUAAUAAUAAUUUACAUGAUAGUACAUACACUAAUAAUGUACGUAUACAUGUUUCAUUAACUUAAUUCAUUGCCUUAAUACUAAUUAACAGGCAUGUACAGUUUUAAAGUUUUAUUAGAUAAAUUGAUGUCAUUAAACGAUUAAUGUAAAAGAUUUUAUUCAAAUGUGGUAUUUGUCUUUUUUCAAAGACAAGUGAUAAUGAAUGGGCGUGAACGUAUUGUAUUUAUAUUAUAUGUGUACUACGGAUUUUGGUUUAUGAGAAAAAGAGAUGUAUGAAAAUAACGGAUCUAAUUAAGAUAUUUGCUAACUAUUUUUCAUAUAUGUGAUUUAUACGUGUAAAUUAGUGUAUAAAUAGAGCAUGUGUAGAAGAAGUGGUAGGGAGGAAUUCGUAGGUGUUGUAGCCAGAAUGUAUGAAAUAUUCAAUACAAUAUUUAAGGACAAUAUUUGCUAUGACUUACAUGUGAUUUGGAGUGUAUUUUAUAAGACAAUAAUCUAGAUAAAUGCUUGAAAUUAAGAUAUAGUACUUUGCUUCAUUUGUAUAGAUGAAGACAUUAGAAGAGAAAAUAGCAGAGCUUGAGAAAAAGUUAGAGAAAAAACAAGCUGAGACGAGUUAGAAGAGAAAAUAAAGCAGAGAGAGAAAGUAGUAGAAGAAGACACGAGAAUUGACGAGUUAUUUAGGAAAAUUUAGAGAGAUUAAGAGGCGGCCAAGAGAGACGUUAAAGAUGAGGCUGCAAAAGGAAAGGUGGAUAUUGAUGUUUUACAUGAAAGAUUGAUAUUACUAGACAAUUUGGCGAGAAAGCAAAAUCAUGACUUAAAGGACAAAAUAAACUUAAUACUAAGUAGAUUUCAUAUACACAAAAGUAGACCAAAUUUUGCUGCAGCUUUAGUGUUGAAACUUGUUUGCAACAAAGAGGAGGAAGCGAUACUUGACAAAGAACAGAAGUUACUUAAGACAUUUGGUUUCACUGAUGAUGACAAUUAUAAUAUGCAAUCUCAUAAUUUGUACAUGCAUGGGCCAGGUUUUAUGGGAAAUUCUUUUGGUCAAGGCACAAGGUCAAUCUUACGGAAUGCCUCCUCGCUUUCCAGGUCCACCCCGUCGCGGUAGGGGGCGUGGUAAUAGUCACAAUCUAUGUUUUUAAAUGUAACAAGCCGGGUCAUUUGUUAGGGAUUGUCCAGCUAACCAAAAUUCUUGCAAGUUCAAAUUAAAUUAUUUACAUAAUUUUUAAAACAAGUAAAAUACAUCUUCCAUUCCGUUAGUUAAAUUCAUACUUAUUUCGUUUCAGGAUGCAUUUCGGUUAAAACCAUGGGAAUUAAAAAUAAAUUUGGGAACAGAUCCUACUUCAGUAACAGUUAGACGCCCGACGUUUGUUAAUUUUGAAAACAAAAUUAUUGAUAAUAGUAGGGAGGUUGUUUCAGCAGAGGAGGUUUAUUCAAAAGCAAUGGAUGAUGUAUCUCCAGAUAUACAAAAUUGAAUUUUUUGAAUCCGAAAAAAUUUUGUUGCUGGACAAAUUCAUACAAGGUUAAAGCAAUGGGAGAAAAUAUUAGCUUGUUCGUAUUCUUCAGAUGAAAUUUUAGAUUGACUAGUUCAUGGUGUAAAUAUUAAUAAUUACAUGGUACAUUUUAAAGGAGAUUUCUGGGGACACCAGUAUGAUGAUAAGUUCCCACCUAGCAGAACAUUCAAUAAUUCAAAUAAAUGCAAAAAGUUUUCUACGUUCAUAACAGAAACCGUUGUGGAUAGACUUAGAAAUGGUUCAAUUGAAUGCUUAGGAAAAGUAGGUUUAGCUAAACCACCCCACAUUGUAGCACCUUUAACCGUCGAGCCAACAAAACCUAGAUUAUGCAUUAAUCUAAUGUAUUUGAACAAUUGGAUCAAAGAUAUACCGUUUAGUUUAGACACUCUCAAAAAUGUACCUCGAGCCGUUAGAGAAAAUGCAUAUUUUACCUCAAUAGAUGAUAAAUCAGGUUUUGAUAAUGUUAUGUUAUCCGAGGAUUCCCGUGGACUAGUGGGUUUUCAGUGGGGUGGAUUUUAUUUCAUUUUCAAAACAUUACCGUUUGGUUUUAAACUUUCUAGCUACAUUUAUCACACAUUAAAUCUGCAAGCAACAUCGUAUAUUAGGAGAAAGUUUUUGAUUCCUGUACAUUUGUAUAUAGAUGAUCGUCUUGUCGAGGAAGUAAGAAAACCUGGUUUAAAAGCAGGUGUCAGUUCCGCUUUAUUGGCAAAUUACAUUGUUUGUGAAGUUAUAACUAGAUUAGGGUAUUGCAUUAAUUUAGACAAGACCGUGUUUAUCCCGUCCCAAUCAGUAGUAUUUUUGGGAUUUGUUGUUGAUUCCGUAGCUAGAUGUUUCAGAAUAACUGAGUCCAAAAAACAAAAAUUUAUUAAUUUACGCGAGGAUUGUUUAAGGAAAAGUGCUAUUACGGUGCUAGAUUUACAAAAAAUAGUGGGUCGUUGUAUUUCUUUUAUGUUAGCUGUUCCGGCAGCAAAACUUUACACUCGGGAGAUGAAUAAUGCAAUUUCAUUAGGAAUCCGCAAUCAAACAAGCAUUCCAAUGACAAAAGAUUUAAAGGACGAACUUAAUAAUUGGCGGUUUUUGGAUUCAUGGACAGGAAAGUUAGAAUGGAAAAAAGAAAGACAUUUAGUUGUAAACAUUUAUACAGAUGCUUCUAUGUUCAAAUGGGGUGGAUAUUUUAAAAUAAAUGAUACAGAGCACAAAGUGGGCGAUUCGUGGGCACAUGAAAUGUUAUCGCUUCCUAUUAUGGUACUAGAGGCUAAAGCUUUGUUAUAUGUUUUAAGAUCUAUACGGGAAGACAUAAAGGGUAGUCGGGUGGACGCAAACGUAGACAAUCAGGCCUUGAUAGGUGCUUGGAAUAACGAAGGUUCCAAAUCUAUGAUGCUCAAUUCCACUCUUAAAGAAAUUUUUCAAUUAACUUUGGAUUUAGACGUAAUGUUAAAUUUACAUUUUUGUACCAUCUAAAUUGAAUUUAGCAGAUGAGCCAUCGAGAAAACUUAGUAAAUCGGAUGCGAAAUUAAAUAGCGAUAUAUGGAGUACAAUACAAGAGUAUUUUGGUGACAAUACAGGACACACGAUCGACUUGAUGGCUUUAGAUUCUAAUAGCAUGAUAGACAGAAAUGGUAGAAUUCUAAAACAUUUCACUCCAACUGUUUCUCCGUUGUCGUCAGGUGUAAAUUUAUUUGCCCAAGCCGUGGAUAAAAGUGAAAACUGUUACGUAUUUCCUCCUUUUGCAUUAUUAUUACCGGUGUUGUCUUUCAUCAGGGAGAAUAUGUUAAAUUGUACCGUGAUAUUACGUGCGGAUGGAGUAAUAGCCACAUGGGUUCCAACAUUUUAUGAAUUGAUACACGAUGCUUUUAUUGUUGGUAACAAGGGACAAAAGGGUGUUUUGAAAUAUCCUACAAAGAAAGGUUAUGAUCCAGAUGGUAUAGGGUUAUCUGGAAAUCUGUGGGCAGUUCGCAUAAGUUCAAAGCAAUCUCUGUGUUUUAAUUAUGGAAAAUUAUUAUUUCUUAAUGAACCACUUAUUUCUACUAAAAUUCACUUGUUAUGUAUUGGUGAUUCAAUGAUAAGAUUUUUACAGUGGCGAAAAGAUUUAAAAAACCCAAUGGUAAAUGUGUUUUCACAAGGAGGUGCUCUUGUGAGUGAAAUAACACCCCAAAUUGAGAGACUAACUAGAAUGCAUCCGCCUAGACUUUUGUUUAUUCAUGUAGGUGUCAAUAAUGUAAGCAAAUCCUUUCUGUUUGAAAGCGAGUUCAGCCAGUUAUUAAUUACAACUCAACAAUUAGAACAUUUAGCACAUAUACUUCAGUGCACACGUACGAAUGAUAGGCAUGUAUCUAUUGUAUUAUCAUCAAUAAUUCGGUGUAAAGAUGAAGCUAUAAACGCAAGAUCGGCUAUCAUUAAUGAAAAGAUAGAAAGUUUAUGCAAGCGUAAUUGUUGGAUGUUCAUGGACAAUUCAAACAUUAAUUGUAGACAUUUGAGAGAUUGUGUGCACUUGAAUGAAGAAGGUCAAUUAAUUUUUCUUAACAAUUUGUAUGGUGUAUUAAAAAAUGUUUGGUGAUUUUUCUUGUGUAAAUAUAUAUAUAUGUAUGUGAUAUAAAAAUUUGAGUCAACACUUAACAAUGUAUUUUUGUUUUUUAUUAUCAGGUUUUUAUAUAUUUUGUUUUAGGAGUAUCUCAUGAAAAAAAAUUUGGUGCCCCUACAUAACGUGUUCAAGAUGUGCAGUAACAAAUGACAUAGACUUUAAGUAUUGCAAAGCGUGUGGUUUUGCUAGGGAAAAUAAAGCUACUAAUUACCAGGACGAGAUAAAAAAAAGGAGGAAGUUUUAAAUAAAAUAAACAAUAGAAUUAGUCAGCUAGAUGCUCUGCUAGACGCGGCUAGCUAUUCUAAACAGAAAUGUAGUUUGAAAAAAGAGAUUGAAAAUUUUUUUCAUCUUUUUAGAUUCGCGGAAAAAUCUUACUAAUGCAAGUCCAGAGGACAUUAGGAAAUUUCUCAUUUUCAAAGAAAAGGGUGGGAAAACACAGUUACACGAUAUUAGCUGCCCUUUACGCACGAAACACGGCCUUCAAACUUGCCAAUGCCCAAGGACUUUGGCAUCAAAGUCUGUUGAUUCUUUACUGGGAAAAAUCAGAGCAUUAUUUAGAGACGAGGGUAGAUCAGGAGAGUGGAAUCCUAUGCUUCUUACGGGUAACCCUGCUGCCUCACAUUUGUUAAAAAAACAUCUACAGGUCAUUAAUCAGGAGCAGGCUAACGCUAACAUUUCUGUAAAACAAGCUCCUCCAUUAAUGUUUAGUAAGUUGGGAAAGCUAUGCAGACAUUUAUCAUAUAGAGCUUCAGUUGAGAAAGAUCCUAUUUCGAACUUUCUUUAUGCAAGAGACCUGGCUUAUUUUUCAAUUUUAUGUCAUUCUGGUAGCAGAGGGGGCGACCUUGGUUUAUUGACGGCAGACAGAUGUUUUCAAAUACCCGACUCAGAGGGCAUUUUUGUGUCUCAAACGGCCGGAAAAGUCGCUAAUUUGGAUAAUCCGAGAAAUUUCAUAGUUCUUCCUUCAAAGGAUUCUGAUAUUUGUCCGGUUAAAAACUUAACAAAAUACAUCACAAACGCUAAGGAGUUAAGCAUUACUCUUGCUGAAGGGUAUGUUUUCCGUAUACGAGAUAAAGUGUCACGAAAAAUCAUUAACGAACCAGUUACUUCAUCUUGCAUGACAGAGAGACUCAAAUUACAUUUAAAUGUGUUGAAAUUAUACGAAGGGGAAACUUCCCAUAGCAGUAGGAGAGGAUGUGCAAUUACAUUGCGUAUGCUAGGUGUUAAUGAUGAAGGGAUAAAUCAACACGUAGGGUGGGGCACAAAAAACAUGGUUGAUCAUUAUGCCAAUGUAGGGAAACUGAUAAGUCCUAAAGGACCGGCCUCAAUUUUGUCGCAGGCUGCGGAAAAUUUAGGGAAAGGAAGUUCUUCUUUUGAUAAAGUUUCAAAUCAAUAUACUGGUUUGAGCAAAUUGAAAAGUUUCAGUUUCAAUUAG